CCCUUCAUGUCUUAUUAUUUAACAUCAUACAGAAAGGCUUCAUUGGAUGAUUUGCAACUAACAAUUCAUUGGUAGACGUGUCAUAAUGCAGAGCCAUGGGAAGCUCAGUCCAUCUUCACUUGAUAAGAGUUGUCUGUAGUGUUGUCCAUCAGCAGAGAUAACAACCACAUUGCUAGUAUAACCUCCCACUACAUACACGUUUCCAUCAUUGUCUACAGAGAUACCGCGUGGAGAGCGCACAACACUUUUAUCACAGAACGUCCACAGUAUGUGACCAUGGUAAUCACAGCAGGUUACGCUGUCAUUGGAAUCUGUGUAGAACAAUUUGUCACCGAAUGUUGUAACGUACGCAAGACCUGAAAGUUUGGUAUUGUUAACAUUGGUAAUUGUUUCGUCAUUCAGACUGAUCAUCUGUAUUCCUUUCUCUCUGGCACAAUAUAUUAAAUAUCCAUCUUUGUAUGCUACUCCACCAUUAUAUGAAUCAACUUUUAUUGAUUUCGUCUUUGAUUUCUUCUUUAAGUCGAUUAUAUUAAUCUGAUUUGAAUUGCACCGGAAGUUACAGCAAUAGAAUCAUCACCAAUAAAUACCACAUCAAACGUUCGACCAAUGUUCUUUAUCUCAAAAUCUUUUGAUCCGUCAGAC
rnacentral:lncRNA from 1 species